GACGAACGCUGGCGGCGUGCUUAACACAUGCAAGUCGAGCGGUAAGGCCCUUUCGGGGUACACGAGCGGCGAACGGGUGAGUAACAUGUGGGUGACCUGCCCUCAGCUCUGGGAUAAGCCUGGGAAACUGGGUCUAAUACUGGAUAUGACUCCACGGUGCAUGUCGUGGGGUGGAAAGCCUUGUGCGGCUGAGGAUGGGCCCGCGGCCUAUCAGCUUGUUGGUGGGGUGAUGGCCUACCAAGGCGACGAUGGGUAGCCGGCCUGAGAGGGCGACCGGCCACACUGGGACUGAGACACGGCCCAGACUCCUACGGGAGGCAGCAGUGGGGAAUCUUGCGCAAUGGGCGAAAGCCUGACGCAGCGACGCCGCGUGAGGGAUGACGGCCU
rnacentral:rRNA from 1 species